GAGAUGCCAUGUGAUUGGUUUGAUUCCCAUGUUAGUGGUCUUGUUGCUCAGAGCAGUAAGUGCUCAAGCCUUUUAAUCAGAAAUCAAGAUGUGAAUGGACGGCGGAAAAGAUAGAGGGAAAAAAAAAAGAAGAAAAAAAAAAGACUACUUGAGAAUUAAGGGAAAAAAAAGGAGAAUUAUUUUCCUUGUCUUAAUAACUCUAGUCAUUAGGGAGAGAGGUGUUAGUAUAGUGCUGCUGCUGAUGAGGACGUCUGGAAGGAGGCAGUCUAGAGAGAGAGAGUUAUUGAUUUAUUUGAUCACUUUUGUAUUUGUCGUAGUACGUAUCUGUGUCAUCUUGGAUUGUGUUGUUACUGUGUAUGGACUAUUUCACCUUAUCUAUUCAAGAUUCUUGCAGAAAAAUAAAAAAAACCAUAUAAGCUCUGA